rnacentral:lncRNA from 1 species
CAUUGACAAAUUUGCAUAGUAAUUUGUUUAUAGUAAAUAAAACAAACAAAUUAGUCGCAUCGAUAAGAAUAGAUACCUUGCAUGUCACUGUCUCAAUGUAAGAAGGCUCAGUAAGAGCUUAAACAUUUAUCUCAUUAAACCGAUUGUCCCUAGAGCAAGUGGCAAAGUGCUUGGUGGUUGAUAUCCGAGACCCAAGUUCGAAUCCUAGUUGAUUCACAUUUCCAGCUAAGUUUAUUUCUAAAUGAAAUAAACAAAGCGGGUAACGUGCUAUCUAUCUCUCUCAAAAAAAAAACAUUUAUCUCAUUAAACACGAGGAUCAUAAUUAAUCAACUGCUAAC